GAUAGAGAUAUAUCACCCUAAAGUUCUUGGCUAGUUUCCCACUGAAGCUAGGCAGGGUUGAGCCUGGUCGGUACCUGGAUGAGAGAGCUCCUGGGGAAACCAAGGUUGCUGCUGGAA
rnacentral:rRNA from 1 species